UCCAGGCAGCCCAAGCCCAAACCCCGCUUCCUCUCCCUUGGCAGCUACCCUCCCUUUGAGCACCCCCGAUACUCCAGCCUCCCUCAGGGUCCCUGCCUGUGUGCUGACCAUGGGUGCACCCUCCCUUUGAGCACCCCCGAUACUCCAGCACAGCCGUACUGCCCCCCGUGCUCUCCUGGAGGCAGGGCAGGGGGUGGACACACAGUGCCCAGUCCUGGUGGAGGGGGAGCCAGAGAUGGAGCAGGGCUGGAGGCAGCAGGACCCUCCGACUACCUCCCCUCAGGGGCACGUCCUUCCUGACCCCUGGGUCUGGAGAUGCAGCUGAGGCCUCCGUGUCCACAGCCCAGCAUCUCCAGUUCCAGGGUCUCACAGCCAGCCCCGAGGGGUCAGGCACCAGUGUGGCAGCUGGGCUCCCCCUCCUCCUCCUGCCCCUCACCCAGGGCUGGGAGUGUCCAGCCCAACACGGGGCCCAGCAGGAGUGGGGGGAUCACCCCAGAGAGAAGCCUGGGCUGGGGAUGAGCUGAGAGGCCAGAAGACGGAGCAGGACCCUCCCGUCCAGGCCACCUGGGAAGGGGCCCCCUGCGGAAGCCCAAGGUUCACCACGUGGGCCAUGAACGCGAUGGACAAGGGCUCUGUCUGGGAUGUGGCCUCCCUCACACAGGGGCCCUGCCAAGUGACCAGAUGUUCAGUGAAAAGUCCCCCUCAGGCCACGCCACUGACCAGGCCAGCUGCAGUUACAGAAAUUCCUUGUCCUCACAGCCCACUCAGACCCCAGUCCCCAAGCCACGAAGUUGAGCCUGACGCCAGGAGACGGCCACCCUCCGGAGGCCGGCGCUUGUUCAGAGCACUCGACUGGUCCCACAGUCUCCGCAGCAAUGCCAGGGCAGAGUUGCCCACGUGGGCUUCGCUCCUGGGACCACCUGUGUCAGUACUUGUCCCCCACCGUCCGUGGACCCCCGGCCACAUCCCAGGCCCUGCAGUGGGUCUGCAGAAGCUCUGGGCUUUGCUGACAGAAAUGGCCGCUGAGAGCAAAAGUCAAGGGGAAUCAUCCCUCCUGGAGCCCGGCAGGCCCAGGAGCAGCCCCAACUGCAGCAGGAGGCGGUGCGCUCCAGGCUGGGGGGGGGGACGUGGAAGGCUCCCGCCCAGGACAUGCCCUUCGGACUUCCCUUCCCCCUCACUGUGAGCAUCUCCGCACUGCCACGCAGCAGCACGCUCGGCCCGAGCACGCCGGGGCUCCCAGGAGGCGCAGCCGGACCAUGCAGCUUGGGGGAAACGCCGACGCAGCCGCACCUGGGCGGGAAUCUCGGCUUCCUGGGGCAAGUCCUGCCACUGCCCCAUGCCUCAGUUGCCCCUCUAUGACGUGCAGGGUAUCUUGGGACCAUGGUGAGGACUACAUGCACUACAACGCCCAGGGAGCCGCUGGCCCAGGCAGUGUUUGACACGUCAGCUGCGGUUCAUCCAGGUCUCCUCCUGUCCAGACCCCGGCCUCCUCCCUACACGGGAGCCUCCCUCCCAGCUCUCCCACCGCCCGAGGGCCACAGGCCCUGAACGUAGAGACUCGAUGUCGGGGGAGCCUGUACCAGGCUCACGUCGGCCCCGACUGAGCUUACCUGGCAAGACAGAAGGGAAAGGGUGGGGAGGCGGGGGCUGACCAGUUACCUGCAGCCGGCCCAGUGAACACACAGUACCCGUCCUCCUGGGUCGGGAGCGAGGUGCAGGCAACAGGCAGCCGGCCCCCCGCCAGGCGGCUCCAGCACACGUCCUGCAGGGCCUCGCAGAACUGACGGCAGGGCGGUGGGGCGGGCAGCGGGACCCUGCCGCAGGGGGUGCCAGCAGCAGGCAGAAGAACCAGGCGAGGAAGGGGUGGUAGUGCGUCCGCAGCAGGCCCCCCCAUGCCCGCGCUGCAGCCCGCACCUGCUCGCCGCUCUCAUGGUGGAGGUGGUUGGGCAGCCAGGAACGCGAGAAGCCCAGGCGGCCGCAGACUGUCAGGGAGGGCGGCAGGGGCAGGCAGUGGCCGGAGGGGGCCUCGGGGUCCACUCCAAGCAGGGCAGAGUGAUUAGUGAGACCAGGCCCCACAGAAGUAGCUGCGUGGGACACCCAAGCACCGCUGUCCCAGAUUAAAGUGGUGACUGCAACCUGAGACAGGGCACCCGGGAGGCCAGAGGAGAAGGCAGAGGGGGCCAUGUGGCCCAGGAAACCCAUCACCAGGGGAUGCAGAAGAGGCGUGUGUGGGCGGACGUUGGGGCGUCGGAGCUGUGUGCCGGGAGUGGAGGCAGCGGGCAGGCGUCCUUGGCCAUCCAGGUCCGAGACACUUCCCCAGGGAGGCGCCCUGCCCAGCAAGGAGGAGAGAGAAGCUCUACCUGACGACGGCAGCGGCCCUGGGGGGCCCGUGAGUGGUGCCAGGGGCCUGCCCAGGGAGGGAGGCGAUAGCGUGGGUGCAGGCAGGAUGCCAGCCUCGGUCGUGUGGGGGCCUGGAGAGCUCGGAGCACGAUGACCAGGCCAGAGCACGGUCCC